UGUUAACCUGUUUAAAGGUCUUACGUCGGCUACGGGCAGUAUUUUGACAUCCGGAUGAAAAGCCCAAAGUAAACUGCAAUUAAUAUUACAAAGUAUAUCUGACUCUAUUUAACAUUAUAGUAAAACGAUGUGUAAUCAAAUAUUAUGUGUUUAGCUGACUAAGAUCAAGAAAGGGUCAUGAGAAGCGAAUAUCAAAGCAAGUGUUAUUUAAUAACUUUGUAAAAUGAAUGGAUUCGCAAAUUAGGCAUGAAGUUUAAUAUCAAAGCAAUACUGACAUGAACAAAACAUAUUUUUAGGCAUAUAUCCCAAGGUUAACUUGAAAGACGAAGCAUGAGUCAUACAGCUGCAAAGACAUUUUGCACAUGAUCAAACAGGCUUUUUAUAUGUCAAGAUGAGAUUAGUGUAACUUUCUCAGAACUGCUAUCAGCUACCCAACACUGCCUAGAUGUUGCUCUGUUGUCUUCGCAGUCGAACCGUCUGCUAGCAGUUCCUCUUUAUCUGGUCACUUCUCCAUGAUGAUUAUCAGUGACCUUGUGUUCACUUCACUCAGCAGACCUGGGUCAUCUACUCUAUUCCCCUUUCCUCUCACAGUAACUUUCACUCACAUCUAGUUCCUCUUUACCCUUCCUUGACCCCUAGCAUAUACACUACCGGUCAAAAGUUUUAGAGCACCUACUCAUUCAAGUGUUUUUCUUUAUUUUUAGUAUUUUCUACAUUGUAGAAAAAUAGUGAAGACAUGAAAACUAUUGAAAUAACACAUGGAAUCAGGUAGUAACUAAAAAAGUGUUAAACAAAUCAAAAUAUAUUUGAUAUUCUUCUAAUAGCCACCCUUUGCCUUGAUGACAGCUUUGCACACUCUUGGCAUUCUCUCUACCAGCUUCACCUGGAAUGCUCUUCCAACAGUCUUAAAGAAGUUUCCACAUAUGCUGAGCACUUGUUGGCUGCUAUUCCUUCACUCUGCAGUCCGACUCAUACCAAACCAUCUCAAUUUGAUUGAGAUCAGGGGAUUGUGAGGCCAGGUCAUCUGCUGCCGCACCCCAUCACUUUCCAUCUUGGUAAAAUAGCCCUUACACAGCCUGGAGGUGUGUUGGGUCAUUGUCCUGUUGAAAAACAUAUGAUAGUCCCGUUAAGCGCAAACCAGAUGUGAUGGCAUAUCGAAGCAGAAUGCUGUGGUAGCUAUGCUGGUUAAGUGUGCAUUGAAUACUAAAUAAAUCACUGACAGUGUCACCAGCAAAGCACCCC
ensembl:lncRNA